rnacentral:rRNA from 1 species
GAUGAACGCUAGCGGCAGGCCUAACACAUGCAAGUCGAGGGAGAAGCCUUCGGGCUGAAACCGGCGCACGGGUGCGUAACGCGUAUACAAUCUGCCUUUCACAUAGGGAUAGCCCGAAGAAAUUUGGAUUAAUACCUAAUGGUAUAUAGGAGCGGCAUCGUUUUUAUAUUAAAGCUACGGUGGUGAAAGAUGAGUAUGCGUUCUAUUAGCUAGUUGGAGAGGUAACGGCUCCCCAAGGCGACGAUAGAUAGGGGUUCUGAGAGGGAUGUCCCCCACACUGGUACUGAGAUACGGACCAGACUCCUACGGGAGGCAGCAGUGAGGAAUAUUGGACAAUGGUCGGAAGACUGAUCCAGCCAUGCCGCGUGCAGGAUGAAGGUCCUAUGGAUUGUAAACUGCUUUUGUAAGGGAAGAAUAAGGAGUACGUGUACUUUGAUGACGUACCUACGAUAGCUCGCA